rnacentral:rRNA from 1 species
UACGUAGGGUGCGAGCGUUGUCCGGAAUUAUUGGGCGUAAAGAGCUCGUAGGCGGUUCAGUAAGUCGGGUGUGAAAACUUUGGGCUUAACCCAAAGCGUGCAUCCGAUACUGCUGUGACUUGAGUUCGGUAGGGGAGCAGGGAAUUCCUAGUGUAGCGGUGAAAUGCGCAGAUAUUAGGAGGAACACCGGUGGCGAAGGCGCUGACUCUGGGCCGAAACUGACGCUGAGGAGCGAAAAGCGUGGGUAGCAAACAG